UACGGGGGGGGCAAGCGUUGUUCGGAAUCACUGGGCGUAAAGCGUGCGUAGGCGGCUUGUUAAGUGAGAUGUGAAACCGUGUGGCUCAACCAUAUCGUUGCAUUUCAUACUGGCAGGCUAGAGGACGGCAGAGGCAAGUGGAAUUGGUAGUGUAGCAGUGAAAUGCGUAGAUAUUACCCGGAACACCAAUGGCGAAGGCAGCUUGCUGGGCCGACCCUGACGCUGAGGUACGAAAGCGUGGGGAGCGAACAGG
rnacentral:rRNA from 1 species